AAUAGAUACCCCGGUAGUCCACGCCGUAAACGAUGAGUGCUAAGUGUUAGAGGGUUUCCGCCCUUUAGUGCUGCAGCAAACGCAUUAAGCACUCCGCCUGGGGAGUACGGCCGCAAGGCUGAAACUCAAAGGAAUUGACGGGGGCCCGCACAAGCGGUGGAGCAUGUGGUUUAAUUCGAAGCAACGCGAAGAACCUUACCAGGUCUUGACAUCCCCUGACAACCCUAGAGAUAGGGCGUUCCCCUUCGGGGGACAGGGUGACAGGUGGUGCAUGGUUGUCGUCAGCUCGUGUCGUGAGAUGUUGGGUUAAGUCCCGCAACGAGCGCAACCCUUGAUCUUAGUUGCCAGCAUUCAGUUGGGCACUCUAAGGUGACUGCCGGUGACAAACCGGAGGAAGGUGGGGAUGACGUCAAAUCAUCAUGCCCCUUAUGACCUGGGCUACACACGUGCUACAAUGGAUGGUACAAAGGGCUGCAAACCGCGAGGUUAAGCGAAUCCCAUAAAACCAUUCUCAGUUCGGAUUGCAGG
rnacentral:rRNA from 1 species